CACACACACACACACACACACACACACACACAGCCUAAAGUACCUGACAAGUAAUAACUAAAAAUAAGGCAAGGGUGUGCUAUACAAAUUUGGAGGCAUUAGGAAUAGAGAUUUCAUAGAGUAGAAAGGGGAGGACAAGUUUUGUUUGUUUUUGCUUUUUAACCUACAACUUUUUCCACCUCGUCCUCUCUUACAUCCUCGCGAAGCCCAGCGCAGCCCCAGGAACCGUGGGUCCAGCCCCAUCACCCCCAGCCCGCGCCCACGCCUCUCUCUGCGGCUCCAAGAGGAACCAGUCCCUGCUUCGCGGGGGCGUCUCGCCACCCACCCCGCGGCCCCGCAUCCCUGCAGGUCAAGCCAACCUCAGCCCAGGCGCCUCCCCAUCUCACUCCGGAAGGUGCGAGAGAGCAGCACCCUGCUUUGGUUCAGGUUUUUAUUGUUAUUAUUUCUCCGAAAAAAGAGAAAACGUGGCCUUGAAGCGUCCCCUGGGCGCAGGAGCUGUGAAGGCGCCGCGCCCACGCCGGCCCCGAAACACACGUUCCCGCGCGGCCUCGGCAGGUGGCCCGGGAGACUGGGUACUCCAUCCUCCGCCUCUCCUCGUUCACCCGCAGGUUCCUUUUAAAUGGACUGAACCCAUCCUGUUGGUUCGAAGCCCGGAGACAUCGGGGUGGACGUUGAAGUCGCCUGAGGCGCUCCCAGCGGAAUCUGCACUCCCAAGGCAAUUGUAGAUUUCAGAUUUCUCCCAGUAGAAAAACUGCCAUUAGAAUUGGGGAGAGCGUGGCAAGUGCCUGCGUCUUUAUCAGCUGAGCGGAGCUGAUUCAAAUUUCGGAUCCUAAUUUUUCCAGAUUUUGGCUUUAGGAAUAAAUCGUAGGAAUAUUUGAGAACAUGGAAUCUCGCCAUUUUUCCAGAUGGCAGCAAAGUAGGCAUGGUUGACAUUUUAGCUUUGCUAGAGGGGAAAAAAAAAGAAAAUUACAUGUCUUUUCUUCUUUUGUGUGAUUGGCAUCCUUUUUUAGAAGAUGUGCAUUUUCAUAAGGCAGGAAAUGACCCUAACAAAGCGACCUUAUUUAAAAGUAUAAGCUCAGUCGUCCAAGUUCCUGGCCAUUCUUCUCAUCAUUCUUUUUUUAAGAAUUAUUUAAUUAGCAUAUCUAAAGUCUGUUCUCAAGAUUCCUUUCAUCUUGGUGUCACAUAAAUUACAAUAUAACUAAAUAUGUCUUUAUAAGACAUUGCUUUUUUCUUUUCUUUUCUUUCUCUCUCUUUUUUUUUUUUUUUUUUUGAGUCACCACAGUUUGACCAAGAGCUUGAAUUUUUUUUCACUUUUUACUUUGAGAAUUUAAGUUUAAUGUUUCAGCCCGGGAAUUCUGAGGGCAAGGGCUUUAAAAACGAGGUAUAAAAGAGAAGAACAAAAUCUCACAAUUAGGCAUUGCAGAGGUUUCAUAAGUCAAUAUCAGAUUUCUUCUAAAAUAAUAUUUCUUUUUUUAAACAGUCUCUGUUUCAUAAUUUCUCUAGUGAUAUGGGAUGAAGAGAAGUUCACAUUUAACAUGACUUUUAUUAUGGAUAAAAUGCUUGGGCUGCAUGAAAUGGUACAACUUUCCUUGUAACACUUGUUGAAAUGCAGGUGGUUAUUAAAGAGAUUUACAUUCCCAUGAUAGGCUUGCCUUUUGUGCUUUUCAGGGGAAAAAAAAAAAGUGAAGGGGUAAGUUUCAGGAAAGAAAUCCUGUGUGCUUUUUUCCUUUCAUUUUAAAGUUAUGCCUCUACCGUAGAUCUUUCGAUCUUUCUUUUUCCUUUUUCCUUUUUCUUUUCUUCUUUUUGGGAGUGUACACAUGGCAUAUGGAGGUUCCCAGGCCACCAGCCUAUGCCACAGCAAUGUGGGAUCUAAGCUGAAUCUGCAACCUAUACCGAAGCUCAUGGUAACAACGGAUCCCAAAGCCACUGAGCGAGGCCAGGGAUCAAACCUGAAACCUCAUGGUUACUAGUUAGGUUCUUUUCUGUUGUGCCACAAGAGAACUCCAGAUUUUUCGAUCUUAAGAAAACAAAGACUUGAAUCUUAUUGGACAGAAUUUUCAUAUGUUUCAAAUGUCCCUUGGCUACAAGGAGGCACUUUUGAAGGAACGGCUUGGCCUCCCCUAUUAACCGCCCCCCCCCAUUUUUGCAAUAUCCAUUAUGCAGUUGUAAGGGGUCACCCACCAGAGCAAAGAUUGGCAGACUGCUCCUUUCGUGAAGAGCACCAUAUUAGGUGUUCUGUGUGUGGCUGGGCUACAGGAAAAUAGGGGAAGUUUAACCAUGUAGUUACGCCAGAAUAAAAUGAAUGAAUGAAUGAAUGAACGAAUGUUAGGUGAGAGAAAAGCAUAAGGGGAAGUGAUAAUUUAUCAGUCUGUCAAUAGGUACACAUAAAUAUUCAUCGUUGAUCCCCGACAAUGCAAGUGUUCAGGCUGUAGUUAAAAAAAAAACAUCGCUGACCAUCAGAAGAAUGCUGUUCAUUCAUUUAUUCAUUUGUUCAGUCAGCCAUCAUCCAUCACCCAGAGCCUUUUAUAUAUCAGUCAUUGCAGUCUGUAAUUAUUGGUGGGAACCUUGAAUUAAGUUCUCAGAAUAUUCCUCACAUGGCACCUAUAUGAGUCAGAGCCUUGCAAAGCACCUUAUCCACCAGAGUCUUGCAAAGCGCCUAGUGUAUUAGAUGUUCCGUAAAUGCUAGUUGAAUGAAUAAAGGAAGAAACAACUCAUUUUCUUAGUUACUAGAGAAAGGAACCUCCUUGAAAAUUAUGUGUAAAUUAGUGUUGUUUAGGGAAGGAAAGAAGUGUUGCCCUCAAUUUUUCCUGUGUCCAGUGAAUACUUGAGGGGGCAUUUUUUUCCUUGCUUACUAACAAGUCAGUGGUUUUAUUAUUUAAUGAAGCCAGUAUUUGUGUGCAUAAAAUAGAAAAGUUAUCAGUGAUCAAUGGUGCCAUCUGGUGUACUUUUUCAUUUAAAUAAAAAAUGCUGUAAGUCAUUUUUACUAUUUAAGUUUUCUGUUGCUAUGUGAUAGCCUUUAUCAAUAAAAAUAUUUAUGAGCAGACCUCAGAGAUGCUGCUGAUUUGGCUCCAAGUCAUUGCAAUUGGGCAAGUCACAUGAGUUUUUGGUUUCCCAGUGCAUAUAAAAGGUGUGUUUACACCAUACUAUAAUCUAAAUGUGCAAUAGCAUUCUGUCUUUAAAAACAAUAUUCAUACCUUAAUUUAAAAGUAAUUUUUUUGUUGUUGUUUGUUUGUUUUUUA